UAUAAAAAGAAUGCUAAUUGGUUUUCCAGCUGAAAAAUAAUAAGGGAUUUGCUGCCAAAAAUGCUGUAUGGCCUGGAAACCCCAAGUUUAUACAAUAGGGCCUGAUUGCAAUCUGGGGGCUCCAUUUGUCCUCCUAUGAAGAGCUAAACAAAGGGAGGUGUUUCGCUCCUCUGCCUUUGUAGAAAGCUCCGCUCCAGAUCUCAGCCUGGUGGAACACCAGGCUUCCCACAGUCUUCCUGCCAAAUCCCCAAGUUUUUUCCUGGCUGCCAUUCAGGAAAGUACAGCUUCGUCUGUAGGAUGGAAAGUUAAAAAGGCCUUGCUUGGAUACGCUGAAAUAUAUACAAACACUGCCUGACGUAUGGAGUAGGCUGCUGCCGCUGGCAUCCUAGCAGAAAGAAUGUGAAACUUUUAAAAGUCAUUUUGGAAUUACUUUGAAAAAUGAAGUAAGACAUAUUCUCAACAACCAACUUCUGCCAAAAUAUGCAAAGAAUAAAACAGGCCAUAAGAAUCCAUUGAUGUGUACAAAAUUAUUUUUUGACAGAAACAGAAACAAGGUAAACACAUGGAAGAUUCAAGUGAGAAUUGAACUGGAACCCAGAAGAAAAAUCAGAUUCAUCAAAUGAAUCUUCGGCCAACAACUGUUCGAGAACAAUGUUAACAUCAUGCACAAGAAUGCUAUGUUGUCUAGGAGUUGACAUUUUCGGCAAUCAAGAAUUACUAUACUUUGUAAAUGAGAAUACCGCUACAGAAUACUAUAAACAGAAUGAUGCCUUUUGUUUCCAAAGUCGAUAUACGAGAGUGAUGUGAAAGUAAUAAUAAAAGCAAGAUAUUUUGUGGCAAAGUUAUCUCUAGGUAAAUGCUAUAUUUGGAAGUGCUGCCAGCAAGUAUCCUUAGGGCAAUAAAAUGAGUUUUCAAUGCUUUUCAGUAUUUAAUUGGCAUGCAGUGAAGACAGUCAGCCCUCAGCCCUCUGUAUCCAAAGAUCUUUGACCUGUAGAUUCAACCAAUUGUGGAUCAAAAAUAUUUGGAAAAAAGAAUUUCUGGAAAGUUCCAAAAAGCAAAGGAGAAAUUCUUCCAAAUAUUUAUAACUUUUGCAUAGAAGAUUAUAUACUGAGAGAAAGUCA